rnacentral:rRNA from 1 species
GGGUGAGUAACACGUGGGCAACCUGCCCAAAAGAAGGGGGAUAACACUUGGAAACAGGUGCUAAUACCGCAUAGCCAUAGUUACCGCAUGGUAACUAUGUAAAAGGUGGCUAUGCUACCGCUUUUGGAUGGGCCCGCGGCGCAUUAGCUAGUUGGUGAGGUAAAGGCUUACCAAGGCAAUGAUGCGUAGCCGAACUGAGAGGUUGAUCGGCCACAUUGGGACUGAGACACGGCCCAAACUCCUACGGGAGGCAGCAGUAGGGAAUCUUCCACAAUGGGCGAAAGCCUGAUGGAGCAACGCCGCGUGGGUGAAGAAGGUCUUCGGAUCGUAAAACCCUGUUGUUAGAGAAGAAAGUGCGUGAGAGUAACUGUUCACGUUUCGACGGUAUCUAACCAGAAAGCCACGGCUAACUACGUGCCAGCAGCCGCGGUAAUACGUAGGUGGCAAGCGUUAUCCGGAUUUAUUGGGCGUAAAGGGAACGCAGGCGGUCUUUUAAGUCUGAUGUGAAAGCCUUCGGCUUAACCGGAGUAGUGCAUUGGAAACUGGGAGACUUGAGUGCAGAAGAGGAGAGUGGAACUCCAUGUGUAGCGGUGAAAUGCGUAGAUAUAUGGAAGAACACCAGUGGCGAAAGCGGCUCUCUGGUCUGUAACUGACGCUGAGGUUCGAAAGCGUGGGUAGCAAACAGGAUUAGAUACCCUGGUAGUCCACGCCGUAAACGAUGGAUUUUUGGUGUUAUUAGUUUGGAUGCUUAGUAGUCCCGGAUUAAACACAAUAAGUAUCCCGCCUGGGGGAGUACGGGUCGCAAGACUGAAAUUCAAAGGAAUUGACGGGGGCCCGCACAAGCGGUGGAGCAUGUGGUUUAAUUUGACGCAAACGCGAAGAACCUUACCAAGACUUGACAUCCUCCUGACAAGAUAUGUAAUGUAUCUCUUUUCUUCGGAGACAGGAGAGACAGGUGGUGCAUGGUUGUCGUCAGCUCGUGUCGUGAGAUGUUGGGUUAAGUCCCGCAACGAGCGCAACCCUUAUUUCUAGUUGCCAGCAGUAAGAUGGGGACUCUAGAGAGACUGCCAGUGACAAACUGGAGGAAGGUGGGGAUGACGUCAAAUCAUCAUGCCCCUUAUGUCUUGGGCUACACACGUGCUACAAUGGUCAGAACAGAGGGAAGCGAAGCCGCGAGGUGGAGCAAAUCCCAGAAAACUGAUCUCAGUUCGGAUUGCAGGCUGCAACCCGCCUGCAUGAAGUCGGAAUCGCUAGUAAUCGCGGGUCAGCAUACCGCGGUGAAUACGUUCCCGGGCCUUGUACACACCGCCCGUCA